rnacentral:rRNA from 1 species
UACGGAGGGGGCUAGCGUUGUUCGGAAUUACUGGGCGCAAAGCGCGCGUAGGCGGCUUUGUAAGUUAGAGGUGAAAGCCCGGAGCUCAACUCCGGAACUGCCUUUAAGACUGCAUCGCUAGAAUUGUGGAGAGGUGAGUGGAAUUCCGAGUGUAGAGGUGAAAUUCGUAGAUAUUCGGAAGAACACCAGUGGCGAAGGCGACUCACUGGACACAUAUUGACGCUGAGGUGCGAAAGCGUGGGGAGCAAACAGG